rnacentral:snoRNA from 1 species
AUGUUGGGGCAUUUUUUGAAUAAAUUCUUAAACCUCUCCCAUGCCUCAGGAUAACUCUCUAAAUCUUUCUGCUUGAAGGUGUGAACGUCAUUCCAAAUUU